rnacentral:rRNA from 1 species
AUUGAACGCUGGCGGCAGGCCUAACACAUGCAAGUCGAACGAGUGGCGGAAGGGUGUGAAAUGUCUGGGAAACUGCCGUAAGGCGGGGGAUAACUACUGGAAACGGUGGCUAAUACUGCAUAACAUCGGAUUUUACCAGAGGGGAUUAGCGAGUAGGUGGGGGAAAGGCUCACCAAGGCGACGAUCCCUAGCUGGUAUGAGAGGAUGACCAGCCACACUGGAACUGAGACACGGUCCAGACUCCUACGGGAGGCAGCAGUGGGGAAUCUUGCACAAUGGGCGCAAGCCUGAUGCAGCCAUGCCGCGUGUAUGAAGAAGGCCUUCGGGUUGUAAAGUACUUUCAGCGGGGAGGCGUUACCCGCAGAAGAAGCACCGGCUAACUCCGUGCCAGCCGCCGCGGUAAUAC